rnacentral:tRNA from 1 species
UAAGGUUUAGGUUAAAUUAAAACCUUUUGCCUUCAAAGCAAAUAAUGGGGACAUUAAACCUCAACCUUAAC